rnacentral:rRNA from 1 species
GUGAACGCUGGCGGUAGGCCUAACACAUGCAAGUCGAACGGCAGCACAGUAAGAGCUUGCUCUUACGGGUGGCGAGUGGCGGACGAGUGAGGAAUACAUCGGAAUCUACUUUUUCGUGGGGGAUAACGUAGGGAAACUUACGCUAAUACCGCAUACGACCUACGGGUGAAAGCAGGGGAUCUUCGGACCUUGCGCGAUUGAAUGAGCCGAUGUCGGAUUAGCUAGUUGGCGGGGUAAAGGCCCACCAAGGCGACGAUCCGUAGCUGGUCUGAGAGGAUGAUCAGCCACACUGGAACUGAGACACGGUCCAGACUCCUACGGGAGGCAGCAGUGGGGAAUAUUGGACAAAGGGCGCAAGCCUGAUCCAGCCAUACCGCGUGGGUGAAGAAGGCCUUCGGGUUGUAAAGCCCUUUUGUUGGGAAAGAAAAGCAGCAGGUUAAUACCCCGCUGUUCUGACGGUACCCAAAGAAUAAGCACCGGCUAACUUCGUG